rnacentral:rRNA from 1 species
CGAACGAGAAGACAUCUUCGGAUGUUGAGUACAGUGGCAACGGGUGAGUAACGCGUGGGAACCUGCCUUCGGUCGGGGACACACUCUAACGAGGUGCUAAUACCGGAUGUGUCACGGCAUCGCAUGGUGUUGUGAUGAAAGGCGGCCUCUGCUUGCAAGCUGUCACCGAAGGAUGGUCCCGCGUCCCAUUAGUUAGUUGGUGAGGUAAUGGCUCACCAAGGCAGUGAUGGGUAGCCGGCCUUAGCGGGUGACCGGCCACACUGGGACUGAGAUACGGCCCAGACUCCUACGGGAGGCAGCAGUCGAGAGGCUUCCACAAUGGGGGAAACCCUGAUGGAGCGACGCCGCGUGGGUGAUGAAGGUCUUCGGAUCGUAAAGCCCUUUCGGCAGGGACGAACGGCACGGGGGUUAAUAGCUCCCGAGCAAAGACGGUACCUGUAUAAGAAGCUCCGGCUAACUCCGUGCCAGCAGCCGCGGUAAGACGGAGGGAGCAAGCGUUGUUCGGAUUUACUGGGCGUAAAGGGCGUCUAGGCGGACAUGCAAGUCAGAUGUGAAAUCCAUCGGCUCAAGAGGUGAACUGCAUUUGAUACUGCUUGUCUUGAGUACGGGAGAGGAGAGCGGAAUUCCUGGUGUAGCGGUGAAAUGCGUAGAUAUCAGGAAGAACAUCGGUGGCGAAGGCGGCUCUCUGGACCGAUACUGACGCUAAAGCGCGAAAGUGUGGGGAGCGAACAGGAUU